rnacentral:lncRNA from 1 species
AGAGUUUUGUAUAUUAUUUCAGUGAUAUUUUACUACUUUUUACAGGUUGAGUUUAAUGCUGUUUUCGGUUUCUGGAAACAUUAAGCUAAAGCAGUAGGGUGAAACAGAUUCAGAAGUGCAGGGGAAAUCUUACAUUAUUUGUAAUAUGAACAUGACUGUAGAACUAUGUAACCUUAUUUCAUUUUCUAGGAAAAAAACCAAGUGUAUUGUUAACGACCACUAGAUGUCUCUGAACUCCCUUGUAAAGAAUCUUUUCCUCCAUCUUUCUACAAAACAUUUAUGUCUUUCUUUACCAAGAGGUUUAAAUCUUUAAUGUAUGUUUUUCAAAGAGUAGAUAUUAACUACAUACGUGACUGAAAAAUGAAACUUUUGUCUUAAAAACGAAGACAAUUCUGUCCUUAAUUAUGUUCUGGAAGGUGGAAAUUUAUGAUUUCUAAAGAAUCUUUAAAAACAUAUAGUAGCUUAUUUCAUAGUAAAUAUUUUAAUCCAGAGUUUUUGUUACGUUUUCCACUAUAU